AUUGAACGCUGGCGGCAUGCCUUACACAUGCAAGUCGAACGGCAGCACGGGAGCAAUCCUGGUGGCGAGUGGCGAACGGGUGAGUAAAGUAUCGGAACGUGCCCAGUCGUGGGGGAUAACGUAGCGAAAGUUACGCUAAUACCGCAUACGAUCUAUGGAUGAAAGCGGGGGAUCGCAAGACCUCGCGCGAUUGGAGCGGCCGAUAUCAGAUUAGGUAGUUGGUGGGGUAAAGGCUCACCAAGCCGACGAUCUGUAGCUGGCCUGAGAGGACGACCCGCCACAAUGGGACUGAGACACGGCCCAGACUCCGACGGGCGGCAGCAGUAGGGAAUUUUGGAAAAUGGGCGAAAGCCUGAUCCAGCCAUGCCGCGUGCAGGAUGAAGGCCUUCGGGUUGUAAACUGCUUUUGUACGGAACGAAAAGGUUUGGCCUAAUAAGCUGAGCUCAUGACGGUACCGUAAGAAUAAGCACCGGCUAACUACGUGCCAGCAGCCGCGGUAA
rnacentral:rRNA from 1 species